UACGGAGGGUGCGAGCGUUGUCCGGAAUCACUGGGUUUAAAGGGUGCGUAGGCGGUCUGAUAAGUCAGUUGUGAAAUUCCUCGGCUUAACCGAGUGGACUGCGAUUGAUACUGUCAGACUUGAAUCAGGUUGAGGUAGGCGGAAUGUGACAUGUAGCGGUGAAAUGCUUAGAUAUGUCAUAGAACACCGAUUGCGAAGGCAGCUUGCUGGGCUUAGAUUGACGCUGAGGCACGAAAGCGUGGGGAGCAAACAGG
rnacentral:rRNA from 1 species